rnacentral:rRNA from 1 species
GUGCCAGCCGCCGCGGUAAUACGGAGGGUGCAAGCGUUGUCCGGAUUUAUUGGGUUUAAAGGGUGCGCAGGUGGUUUAUUAAGUCAGUGGUGAAAGACGGUCGCUCAACGAUUGCAGUGCCAUUGAAACUAGUAGACUUGAGUAAAGUAGAGGUGGGCGGAAUUGAUAGUGUAGCGGUGAAAUGCAUAGAUAUUAUCAAGAACUCCAAUUGCGUAGGCAGCUCACUUGGCUUUUACUGACACUCAUGCACGAAAGUGUGGGUAUCAAACAGGAUUAG